GUGAAUCAUCGAAUUUUUGAACGCAAAUUGCACUCUCUGGUAUUCCGGAGAGUAUGCCUGUUUGAGGGUCAGUUUAAAUAAAAAUCGGUGUGGUUGCUGCCUUUCGUGGUGACGCACCGGAUUUGGGUCGUCUUGCUUUCGGUUAAGUGUCCUAAAAUUUUGCAUGAAUUUUUUCGAAUGUAUUUAAAUGAUAUUACGUACGUUUGUGAUAGAGUAUAUUCGGUGUGGUUAUCCUCAUGAUUCGUUCUUAUCAUUUUU
rnacentral:misc_RNA from 1 species